rfam:Chaetura pelagica isolate M959 contig63933, whole genome shotgun sequence.
CCUUCGAUAGCUCAGCUGGUAGAGCGGAGGACUGUAGCACUUUCCCUGCGGUGAUCCUUAGGUCGCUGGUUCGAUUCCGGCUCGAAGGA